AGAACGAACGCUGGCGGCAGGCUUAACACAUGCAAGUCGAACGCUCGUAGCAAUACGGGAGUGGCAGACGGGUGAGUAACGCGUGGGAACAUACCCUCCGGUUCGGAAUAGCUCAGGGAAACUUGGAUUAAUACCGGAUACGGCUGAGAGGCGAAAGAUUUAUCGCCGGAGGAUUGGCCCGCGUUCGAUUAGCUUGUUGGUGAGGUAACGGCUCACCAAGGCGAUGAUCGAUAGCUGGUCUGAGAGGAUGAUCAGCCACAUUGGGACUGAGACACAGCCCAAACUCCUACGGGAGGCAGCAGUGGGGAAUAUUGGACAAUGGGCGCAAGCCUGAUCCAGCCAUGCCGCGUGAGUGAUGACGGCCUUAGGGUUGUAAAGCUCUUUCGCUCGGGACGAUAAUGACGGUACCGAGAUAAGAAGCCCCGGCUAACUUCGUGCCAGCAGCCG
rnacentral:rRNA from 1 species